UCCGGCUUAACGCCGGCGGUUCCCUUAGAGUUCCCACCUAAAAGUGCUGGCAACUAAGGGCAAGGGUUGCGCUCGUUGCGGGACUUAACCCAACAUCUCACGACACGAGCUGACGACAGCCAUGCAGCACCUGUCACCGGUCCAGCCGAACUGAAGGGAUCCAUCUCUGGAUCCCGCGACCGGGAUGUCAAGGCCUGGUAAGGUUCUUCGCGUUGCCUCGAAUUAAACCACAUGCUCCACCGCUUGUGCGGGUCCCCGUCAAUUCCUUUGAGUUUUAAUCUUGCGACCGUACUCCCCAGGCGGGGUGCUUAACGCGUUAACUACGCCACCGAUCCCUAUGGAACCGACGGCUAGCACCCAUCGUUUACGGCGUGGACUAC
rnacentral:misc_RNA from 1 species